GACGAACGCUGGCGGCGUGGAUUAGGCAUGCAAGUCGAACGGUAGGAUACCUUCGGGUAUCUGAGAGUGGCGAACGGGUGAGUAACACGUAGGUGAUCUACCCUCAAGAUUGGGACAACCCAGGGAAACUUGGGCUAAUACCGGAUGAAAGCAGCAGUGAUGUUGUUUGAAAGGUGGCGUAAGCUGCCGUUUGGGGAUGAGCCUGCGCUCUAUUAGUUAGUUGGCGGGGUAAAGGCCCACCAAGGCGAUGAUAGAUAGGCGGCCUUAACGGGUGGUCGCCCACACUGGGAUUGAGAUACGGCCCAGACUCCUACGGGAGGCAGCAGUCGAGAAUAGUCUACAAUGGCCGAAAGGCUGAUAGUGCGACGCCGCGUGAACGAAGAAGCCCUUCGGGGUGUAAAGUUCUUUUAUAUGUGAGCAGUGCUUUCUAUGUGAACAGCAUGGGGGAGAGGAGUAUUAGUACGAUAAUAGUAAGUAAAGUACGAACGAACGUAACUAACCGUUCGUCCGACGACGACGACC
rnacentral:rRNA from 1 species